UCCUAGUAGCGGCGAGCGAAGCGGGAAGAGCUCAAAUUUAUAAUCUGGCACCUUCGGUGUCCGAGUUGUAAUCUCUAGAAGUGUUUUCCGCGUUGGACCGCACACAAGUCUGUUGGAAUACAGCGGCAUAGUGGUGAAACCCCCGUAUAUGGUGCGGACGCCCAGCGCUUUGUGAUACACUUUCAAUGAGUCGAGUUGUUUGGGAAUGCAGCUCAAAUUGGGUGGUAAAUUCCAUCUAAAGCUAAAUAUUGGCGAGAGACCGAUAGCGAACAAGUACCGUGAGGGAAAGAUGAAAAGCACUUUGGAAAGAGAGUUAACAGUACGUGAAAUUGUUGGAAGGGAAACGCUUGAAGUCAGACUUGCUUGCCGGAGCUUGCUUCGGUUUGCAGGCCAGCAUCAGUUUUCCGGGGUGGAUAAUGACGGUUUGAAGGUAGCAGUCUCGGCUGUGUUAUAGCUUUCCGUUGGAUACAUCCUGGGGGACUGAGGAACGCAGCGUGCUUUUUGCGAAAGACUCGUCUUUUUCACGCUUAGGAUGCUGGUGGAAUGGCUUUAAACGACCCGUCUUGAAACACGGACCA
rnacentral:rRNA from 1 species